UACGUAGGUGGCGAGCGUUGUCCGGAAUUACUGGGUGUAAAGGGCGUGUAGGCGGGGAAGCAAGUCAGAUGUGAAAUUCCGGGGCUCAACCUCGGCGUUGCAUCUGAAACUGUUUUUCUUGAGUGCUGGAGAGGAAAGCGGAAUUCCUAGUGUAGCGGUGAAAUGCGUAGAUAUUAGGAGGAACACCAGUGGCGAAGGCGGCUUUCUGGACAGUAACUGACGCUGAGGCGCGAAAGCGUGGGGAGCAAACAGG
rnacentral:rRNA from 1 species